rnacentral:lncRNA from 1 species
UAAUUCGAGAUACAAUUGCUUGCUGUUGAUACAUUUAUCAGGUGCAUGAUGAUUUGACUUUGCUAUAGCGCAGUUCUUUACAAGAUCGUGUAGAGGUUGGCAAUUUGAAAGUAUGGAAGCGAGAAGAUAACGAUACCAUACGAGAGCUAGAGAUCAGUGAAGAGCUGAUUGAAAGAAUUCCCAAUGGGUGAAUGACCCGACUAUGUGACUGAUGCGCGGAAUAAUUUCGGCGUUAUCUAUACACUGCCCUGAAUUCACGUUAACCCAAACUGCACAGGCAGCACAGCUACCUGGGUACCUUGACCAUGAAUGAUCUCUAGCGGUAGUCAACCGGCAGGGUCAUGGUGAUCCUGAGGGAUCAAGCGGAGGAUAGGAGCAAAACUCAAAACCCGACAUUGCUUCUCUGUAUCUCCAACCAACUCGCUUUGACACCCAACGCGGAACCAACCAUGCGGUCACUUUCAAAGAAUCCUCAUAUACUCAUCUGCUAUUGUACUUGGAAAACAGGUGAGGGAUCGAAGUUAAUGUCCAUGUCUCCAUACGCGAUUGAUCCCGAAUACAUCAAAGACCACAAAAGUUGUCCCCGAAAGUUUGGUCCUAAUCUGUUAGGCUCUUACUAUUCGACAGUCAUAAGGAAAGUUUACUUUGGCAUCAGUUAGCGUCGCCGACGAUCGCCAUGGUUGGACUGCAGACCUAUACCAGAGGAUUCACUAAGUUGCCGCUAAUUGUGUCUAAUGCUGCACUGCAGUGCCUGGAGACGACAUUUCACCGGGAUUGUAUAGCCAGUAAUUCCGAGUUUCCACUCCAUCAUCAUCAUAUUACCUUUGGCAUGGCAUCCUUGCUUCUUCCAGGUCAUCGAUAGUUCAACAGCAAUCUUCCGUUGCUCUUGCACAAGCUCUUCGUUACAGGUAUAUUGAUUACAACCGCACUCUAUUGAUGCAUGUUAACACCAUGCAGGAGAUUGAAUGGAUUAUUUACUUGAUUGUCUCCGGAACAAUACCUGAAACUCGUUCCGACGCAGUUCAAUCCGUGCGGCACAGACUCGGCGUACAGCAAAUUCUAAUUUUCAGCGAAUACGAUCUUCUACUUAUCUAAUUUCUGUUUUCUAUCCAUAAUGCCAAGAUCCAGGAUUAGGGGUCCUCGUGCCCUAAUAAGAGAGCGCCGAGUGGAGCAUGACGAACUAACUAUCUUUCACAUCGAUGCCCAUACAAAAGGAGGACACACUCCUUUUUCAUCAACCCAAUCACAUUGGCUUGAAGACAUUUGGUGCCCGCUUACGCAUUCAACUCUAUGCUCUCUAGCUUCUGAGAAUGGAAGCUAACAACAUCAGCGUUCGCAUGGCCGGACUUUAGGCGUUAUUCCUUCGUCUAGCUGCGCACUUUGAUCCGAUGGACUCGCGGAGAUUGCGAAGUGGUCCUCCAAACUCAAUCUUCUCGCCGAGGAGAUGAAAUCAUAGACCGGUUUUGGGCUAAACAGGAUAACCGCACAAAGGGUGCAGGUAGUCGAUCCUCACUUGGACAAAGACACUGACAAAAAGUUCGAGUUCGGAGAUUUACCGACAAAACCUUCUCCCUGGUAUCAGGGAUCACCAGUACUCGCUGCUUUGCCUUUUGAUAUGCCCAAGCCGAUCAGUGAUUGGCCAGACCUCUCGUACUCUCCUGAUGAAUAGGCAGAGCAGUACGCCUGCAUCUACGGUAUGUAUGAGGUCCACUUUGCUUAUUUCCCAUACUCAUUAUCUUUAACCACUGCUUGAGGAGCCCUUAUUAACGGCACCUUUAAACUCUACGCAAGCACAAUGUCGUCUAUUAGGGAUGAUACCGUGACAUACAAGUUGUUUUGUAGACCUUUCUGCGUUAACAAUGGCCCGAAAUCCCUGUGUUAAGGUAUCUCACGAGGCGUCGAUUCGAACACUGCCCAGCCCUUAGCCACGCCACGUUGAACGUUCAGAUGCGCCCAACUACCUUGGCUCUAUUAUUAGUAUGUACCUUGGCGUUUCGAUUGCCGGAUUUCCUUUCCGGCUGUUCUCUCCGACCACAAGAAAGGCCAGCCAUGUAUGUUUCUAGCUGCUCAAGGUGCAUAGU